GAUGAAGAACGUAGCGAAAUGCGAUAAGUAAUGUGAAUUGCAGAAUUCAGUGAAUCAUCGAAUCUUUGAACGCACAUUGCGCCCCUUGGUAUUCCGAGGGGCAUGCCUACUCGAGCGUCAUUAUAACCCCUCAAGCUCAGCUUGGUGUUGGGGCCUGCCGCACGGGCAGCCCUUAAAAUCAGUGGCGGUGCCAUCUGGCUCUAAGCGUAGUAAUUCUUCUCGCUAUAGAGUCCCGGUGGAUGCUUGCCAUUAACCCCCAAUUUUCUAUGGUUGACCUCGGAUCAGGUAGGGAUACCCGCUGAACUUAAGCAUAUCAAUAAGCGGAGGA
rnacentral:misc_RNA from 1 species